AGUUUAUUCAAAGUCGCAGAGACGUUGCUGCAGCAAUGGCGGCCCCAGUGUCCUGGAGGAGGCUGGUGUACUCCGUGUACACACCGGCCAUUGCCGGGGUUUUCACCCGAAUAUCUGACCGACUCUUCCGUGCCCGGGACAGGAGAGGCGGGUCCUCCGUGCUGCUGCUGGCUCCCUUACUGGCCGAAGCCGACCCGGCCCCCCGACGCGUCUCCAGGCCCGCCGGGUCAGCCGGAGCUCAGGGCACAGACGGCCUCUGCACCCACUUCCGAUGGAUGGCGGAACACGUACCCGCUUUCCGGGUGCCGGGCACCCACAUCCACAUUCUCACCUCACCGGACCAGUUCUACCAGACCAUGAAGGCACGUAUCAAGACGGCGAAGAGGCGAGUGGUGUUGGCCUCGCUGUAUCUGGGAACAGGUCAACUGGAGCAGGACCUGGUGGACUGUAUGGAAGAAGCUCUACAACUCUCACAGGAAAACAGUCACGCUCCCAAUCUAAAAGUCUCCGUUUUGCUGGACUACACACGCGGCUCACGAGGGCAGGUUAACUCGAGGACCAUGCUGCUGCCACUGUUGCAGCGCUUCUCCUCACAGAUGCGGGUGUCUUUGUACCACACUCCGGACCUGAGGGGGCUGCUGAGGCUGCUGGUCCCUCAGCGCUUCAACGAGACUAUCGGAGUCCAGCAUAUCAAAGUUUACCUCUUUGACGACAGCAUUAUCAUCAGCGGGGCCAACCUGAGCGACUCGUACUUCACCAACAGACAGGACCGCUACGUGCUGCUGGAGAACUGCAGGGAGGUCGCCGACUUCUUCUCCGAGCUGGUGGAGGCUGUGGGAGACGUUUCCCUGCAGCUUCAGCCCGAUGACUCAGUCAGCAUGCUGGAGGGCAUGGUACACCCAUACAAAGGCGACCGGCAGGACUUCUCGGCCGUGGCCAGGAAGCGGAUCAUGGAGGUCGUGAACACAGCCCACGUGCGGCAGCAGCUGCUGAACCGGUCCGAGGACUCGGAGGACGAGGGGAUGAGCGAGGGGGAGGAGGACACCUGGGUGUUCCCGCUGGUCCAGAUGAAGCCUCUGGGAAUCCAGGUGGACGAGCAGGUCACACAGCGCCUGCUGACAGACGCGGAGCCGGACUCCACUGUGUUUCUAACGUCGGGUUACUUCAACCUGACCCGGGCGUACAUGCGGCUGGUGCUCGGGGCCGGACCCAGCUACCGCAUCCUCACAGCCUCCCCGGAGGUCAACGGGUUCUUCGGAGCCAAGGGUGUCGCCGGGGCGAUCCCCGCGGCUUACAUCCACAUCGCCAGACAGUUCUACAACCAAGUGUGCCAGCUGGGUCAGCAGGAGAGAGUUCACCUGCACGAGUACCACAGACAGCAGUGGACCUUCCACGCCAAAGGUCUGUGGUAUUACCUCCAGGGGCAGGAUCGGCCUUGCCUCACUCUAAUUGGCUCCCCUAAUUUUGGUUACCGCUCGGUUCACCGUGACCUGGAGGCCCAAAUCGCCAUAGUAACGGAGAAUGAGGAGUUGCAGAGCCAGCUGCAGGAGGAGCAGGAGAUGUUGUACCGGCGCUCCACAGAGGUGUCCAGCUCCACGUUUGAGCGGCCGGACCGCCACGUCAAGCUGUGGGUGAAGCUGGUCACUCCUCUCAUCAAGAAUUUCUUCUGAGGUGCCAUCAGAAUAUUUAAAGGCGCUGACUGCAGGGUGACAGUAAAAGACAUUAAAACAUCAACAAAUGUCAAAGGAAGGAAAAAAAGGAAGACGAUUAACCGAAGGGAAACCUGUGAAGACCACAGCUGAAGAUGGAGACAAACAGGAAGCAGGCGGCUUCGGUCUCGUCGGUCCUGAGGUUGAAGGUCUCGGUCGACUCCUGCAGACGGGACGGUCGGACACGCUCGAGUAUCUCCGGCGUGCCGAGAGUCGACAUCUUCGGCUUCACCUCGGCUUAAACUCUCAUCAGUGUGUCCCAGGAAGUGACUCACACACAUACACACACACACACACAGACACACACACACAGACACACACACAGGAGCAGAUGUAUGUGGUGAAUUCACCUGUGGUUUACCUGUGUUUCCGUUAGAUCAUUUAAAUGUUAACACCUGACGUCAUCACACUGUGAAUUUCUGGGUUUGUAGCUACAAACGUUUUAAAAGAAGAAAAAACAAAACAACCCUACUUCUACUUCUACUGUACGUACAUCUGCACACGUACAUGUUGCAUGUGUAAGAAAGCAAUAGAGACUCGAUGAGUGACGGAGGGUGUGAUGCUAAACGGACGGGUGUGGUGAAUCAUUACGAUCCCUCGACGAGCCUUAAUAACAGUUUUUAAGAGCUCUUACAGUGUUUACAGCUCUGCCGACAGCUGUAAUCAAAGCGAACUGUACAGUGUCUUUGUGUUAUUAUUAUCUUUGUAAAUUAAAGGACGACGUGAGUUUUUAAAAUGA